GAUCUGCGCCACUGCAGCUCGCGGGUUGAGGCCACGAAGGCAGACGAAGCGGUGCGCAGCUCGAGAUGACGAACUCCUGGCUGCGUUCCUUAGGCGGGCGUUGGACCAGUAUGUGGCUGCCAGGUCGAGUUCCGGUGGCCUGUCGAAGGUCCAUGGACGAG
rnacentral:lncRNA from 1 species